AUGACCAAAAGUUUUGGGGUGUGCAACCUUGAGAUGGUUGACAAGCAGGUUGACUCAGGACAGAGACGGAUGAGUGAAUCAAGUUGGUGGCCUCAAGUCCUUGGAGAAAAGAGGAGGCAAUCAAGGGCAAGGUUGACUCAACCCAAGCCAGGCCAAGCCAAGCCGGCCGGCCUGCAGCUACCAAACAGCGACAGACAGAGAUUUGAAUGGGCAGGGAUAUUAUGUGCAGUUAGGCUUAAGCCGCUCCAUAAGUCACGUAGUAGAUCUCCACCGGCCGGCGGCUAUCUCGUCGCCGGCGAUCUCGUCGGACAGCGGGCGCGACAACGUCGUGAAUCUCCAACGAUCGCGCACAGGUACCGCAUCCCGCGUCCCCCCUCUAGUCUUGCUCGCGGCAACAUCGAACGAACUGCCGCCGCGCCAGUGGCAGUGGUUAACCUAGCGGAGCGGGAAAUGGCAGACGAGGAGUUAACUGAUAUCAUGGUAGACAUGGAGUUUGGAGAACUGAUGAAAGACUGGAUAGAAGAUUGGUCAGAUGAUGAAAAUUCAGAUCGUCAAGAUCGGUCAGAGAAUGGGAACGAAUGGGACGAUCUUAAUAUGGAUGAGCUUGAUGAUGAUCAGGAAAACAACUCGGAGCUCUGGAAUGGAGAUUUCAUUAGUCAGUUUAUUUCCGAAUGUCAUAAUGCGUACGACUAUUACGGUGAAUCCGACGUGGAGACAGACCUUAACGACGAAUCAUUAGAUGCACCUGGUUCUGGGGAGUCCGAGUCGUCGGUCAUCAUGAGUGAGGUGACAGAAGAUGGUGGGGUAAUGAAUGUCCAAGAUACUGCCAGUGCAGAUGAUAGGAGGGAUAUGUUCAUGCAGAUAAUGGACAUGACUUUUAUGACUCACGAUGCUGCGUAUGAUUUCUACAACAGCUAUGCUAGAGCUAAUGGUUUCAGCAUUAGGAAGAAUAAGGUCAGCAAGUUGCUAACCGAGGAAGGGCACAGCCGUCGGCUCAGAGCCGAGACACGCUGCUUUUGCGAAGCACACCUGACAGUCAAGCUUGACCAAAAGCGUGGGGUUUGGUAUGUUGCAAGUUUUGAGGACAAGUAUAGCCAUAUGUUGGCAGGACCGGACGAGGUACCUUUUCUUUGGUCCCACAGAAAAAUCAAAGAGUUUCAGAAGCAUGAGAUAAUGUCCAUGGGAGCUGCAGGGAUUAGAAUUCACGACAUGAUGGAUUGCCUCAUCAGCAAACAUGUAUGGUAUGUCGGUGUUGGUUUUACCAGGCGUGAAAUAUACAACCUUUGUGCCAGGGAGAAGAGGAAGCUGCUUUCAAAAGGUGAUGUUGCCACAGCCAUAGGCAUCAUGACCAGUAGGAAACAGAGGGAUCCUAGCUUCUUUUUCGAGUACAUGCUAGAUAAGGAAGGACACUUGAAUAGGAUGUUCUGGUGUGACUCCCAGUCUCGUCAUGACUAUGAGGACUUUGGCGACGUGCUUGUAUUUGACUGCACGUACAAGAUGAACCGCUAUGGUAUGCCAUUCAUACCUUUUGUUGGUCUUAACAAUCACCUGAAGACCACUGUUUUUGGUUGUGCCAUAGUUUUGGACGAGACCGAACAGACAUACGUGUGGCUGUUGCAGACUUUUUUGAGGUCCAUGUGUCAAAAGAUGCCGAAGAGUGUAAUCACAGAUGCCGACGCUGCGAUGAUCAAGGCAAUUCGUGAAGUCUUGCCAGACGUGUGGCACCGUAUAUUAACAUGGUUGAGACGGAUGUAUAAGAAGAGGAGACUGUGGGCCGCGGCUUAUCUGACAGAGGGGUUUUGGCUUGGCAUGAAAAGCAACCAGCGGAGUGAAAGCCUAAACUCAUGCCUUCACCUCCACCUAGACGGUGAAAUGACCCUGGUGGAUAUGAUUUUGCAUUAUGAGAACGCCGUUGUAUGUAUCCAUGAAAACGAGGCGCGAGAUGACUGCACGACCUCACAGAGUUUACCGGUGCCAGUUACUAUCUCGAGGGAACUUGAGAUAGCUGCUUCUCACGUCUUCACUCCAGCAAACUUCUAUAUGUUGCAAGAUGAUCUUAGAAAAAUUGAUGGCAUGGAGAUUGUAGAAAUCAAGCUGGGAGACGGAUCACAGCAGUACAUCGUGGCCUGGAAGAAUAACCGGAAUAGCCGUUUUUGGGUGGAGUGUACAGCAUGUUUAGUUCUUGUUCGGUUCACGAAACAAGCAAGGUUGGGACUGCCUGCGAGGCGCACAAGCGAUCUGUUGGGAUAUGGUUGGACCGGGGCAGAGGAAAGAAUGAAAUAUAGCCAGACGAUGGUGAAGGCAACAUGGUCGCAGUUAAAGAUCCAUGAAAGUGUCCAGCAAAGGUGCAACAAAGAACAGUGGAGAAGGAAGAAGUGUAGAACACUUGCUUCAAUUUUUUACGGAUAA
rnacentral:rRNA from 1 species